rnacentral:rRNA from 1 species
GACGAGGGGCCUAGCGUUGUUCGGAAUCAUUGGGCGUAAAGCGCAUGUAGGCGGCCUAGCAAGUCGGGUGUGAAAAUCCCUGGGCUUAACCCCAGGACGGGCACUCGAUACUGCCUGGCUUGAAUAUGGGAGAGGAUAGUGGAAUUCCUGGUGUAGUGGUGAAAAUACGUAGAUAUCAGGAGGAACACCGGUGGCGAAAGGGCGGCUAUC